UUUUUUUUUAAAGCUAAAGUUAGGUGGGCUAUAAAAGUGGGGCCAUUAAUACUAAUGACAUAUCUGACUAAUGUUUUGCUGUGUGGCCUACCUUAUCAAUCAAUCGAUCAGCUCGUUUGGGCCGGAAUGCACACAGUAGAGGGCUUGAGUUACAUUUACAGUGGGCUUCACAAAGCUUCAGCCCACACAGAUACAGCCCAGUCAAGUAUCUACUCGACCCGACCUAACAACUAUCAAACAUGCGGAUGAUCCGUGACAGGAGCGCGCAGCUUCGGACUGUGGGGCGUACCAAGAUAUGUAAUGGUGGGCCCAACAGCCAGGGAUCCAUCCACCCAAGCCACGCCGCUGCCAGUGGCAUCAAGUCACCAUGCAAUCCGCC